rnacentral:rRNA from 1 species
AUUGAACGCUGGCGGCAGGCCUAACACAUGCAAGUCGAGCGAGCGGCGCACGGGUGUGUAAUGUAUGGGGAUCCGCUCGAUAGAGGGGGAUAACUACUGGACACGGUGGCUAAUACCGCAUACUAUAGGAUGACCACAUAUGGGAUUAGGUAGUAGGUGGGGUAAAGGCUCACCUAGGCGACGCUCUCUAGCUGGUCUGAGAGGAUGAUCAGCCACACUGGUACUGAGACACGGCCCAGACUCCUACGGGAGGCAGCAGUGGGGAAUAUUGCACAAUGGGCGCAAGCCUGAUGCAGCCAUGCCGCGUGUAUGAAGAAGGCCUUAGGGUUGUAAAGUACUUUCAGCGGGGAGGCGUUACCCGCAGAAGAAGCACCGGCUAACUCCGUGCCAGCAGCCGCGGUAAUUC